rnacentral:rRNA from 1 species
ACCCUGGUAGUCCACGCUGUAAACGAUGAUCACUCGUUGUUGGCAAUACACCGUCAGCGACUGACCGAAAGCAUUAAGUGAUCCACCUGGGGAGUACGACCGCAAGGUUGAAACUCAAAGGAAUUGACGGGGGCCCGCACAAGCGGAGGAACAUGUGGUUUAAUUCGAUGAUACGCGAGGAACCUUACCUGGGCUUAAAUGUAGAACGACGGACCGGGAAACUGGUCUUUCUUCGGACGGUCUGCAAGGUGCUGCAUGGCUGUCGUCAGCUCGUGCCGUGAGGUGUCGGGUUAAGUCCCAUAACGAGCGCAACCCUCAUCAUUAGUUGCCAGCGGGUAAUGCCGGGGACUCUAAUGAAACUGCCGGUGUCCCCCGAGAGGAAGGUGGGGAUGACGUCAAGUCAGCACGGCCCUUAUGUCCAGGGCUACACACGUGUUACAAUGGUCGGUACAAAGGGCAGCUACCUGGCGACAGGAUGCUAAUCUCGAAAACCGAUCUCAGUUCGGAUCGAAGUCUGCAACUCGACUUCGUGAAGCUGGAUUCGCUAGUAAUCGCGCAUCACCCAUGGCGCGCUGAAUACGUUCCCGGGCAUUGUACACACCGCCCGUCAAGCCAUGGAAGCUGGGGGUAC